AUGAACGCUGGCGGCGUGCUUAACACAUGCAAGUCGAGCGAAGCAGUUAAGUUGAUUUCUUCGGAUUGAUUCUUAACUGACUGAGCGGCGGACGGGUGAGUAACGCGUGGGUGACCUGCCCCAUACCGGGGGAUAACAGCUGGAAACGGCUGCUAAUACCGCAUAAGCGCACAGAGCUGCAUGGCUCGGUGUGAAAAACUCCGGUGGUAUGGGAUGGGCCCGCGUCUGAUUAGGCAGUUGGCGGGGUAACGGCCCACCAAACCGACGAUCAGUAGCCGGCCUGAGAGGGCGACCGGCCACAUUGGGACUGAGACACGGCCCAAACUCCUACGGGAGGCAGCAGUGGGGAAUAUUGCACAAUGGGGGAAACCCUGAUGCAGCGACGCCGCGUGAGCGAAGAAGUAUUUCGGUAUGUAAAGCUCUAUCAGCAGGGAAGAUAAUGACGGUACCUGACUAAGAAGCCCCGGCUAACUACGUGCCAGCAGCCGCGGUAAUACGUAGGGGGCAAGCGUUAUCCGGAUUUACUGGGUGUAAAGGGAGCGUAGACGGCAAGGCAAGUCUGAUGUGAAAACCCAGGGCUUAACCCUGGGACUGCAUUGGAAACUGUCUGGCUCGAGUGCCGGAGAGGUAAGCGGAAUUCCUAGUGUAGCGGUGAAAUGCGUAGAGAUCGGUAGGAACACCAGUGGCGAAGGCGGCUUUCUGGACUGAAACUGACGCUGAGGCGCGAAAGCGUGGGGAGCAAACAGGAUUAGAUACCCUGGUAGUCCACGCGGUAAACGAUGAAUGCUAGGUGUAGGAGGUAUCGACCCCUUCUGUGCCGCAGUAAACACAAUAAGCAUUCCGCCUGGGGAGUACGGCCGCAAGGUUGGAACUCAAAGGAAUUGACGGGGGCCCGCACAAGCAGCGGAGCAUGUGGUUUAAUUCGAAGCAACGCGAAGAACCUUACCAGGUCUUGACAUCCCGAUGACCGGUUCGUAAUGGAACCUUCUCUUCGGAGCAUUGGAGACAGGUGGUGCAUGGUUGUCGUCAGCUCGUGUCGUGAGAUGUUGGGUUAAGUCCCGCAACGAGCGCAACCCUUAUCCUCAGUAGCCAGCAGGUAAAGCUGGGCACUCUGUGGAGACUGCCAGGGAUAACCUGGAGGAAGGUGGGGAUGACGUCAAAUCAUCAUGCCCCUUAUGAUCUGGGCUACACACGUGCUACAAUGGCGUAAACAAAGGGAGGCAAAGCCGCGAGGUGGAGCAAAUCCCUAAAAGCCGUCUCAGUUCGGAUUGCAGGCUGCAACUCGCCUGCAUGAAGCUGGAAUUGCUAGUAAUCGCGGAUCAGCAUGCCGCGGUGAAUACGUUCCCGGGCCUUGUACACACCGCCCGUCACACCAUGGGAGUUGGUAACGCCCGAAGUCAGUGACCCAACCUUUCAGGAGGGAGCUGCCGAAGGCGGGACUGAUAACUGGGGUG
rnacentral:rRNA from 1 species